UGGCUCAGUGGUAGAGUGCUUGCCUUGCAUGCAUGAGGUGAGGGUUUGAUUCCUC
rnacentral:tRNA from 1 species